rnacentral:rRNA from 2 species
UGCAUCAUGAUUUACAUUUGAGUGAGUGGCGAACUGGUGAGUAACACGUGGGAAACCUGCCCAGAAGCGGGGGAUAACACCUGGAAACAGAUGCUAAUACCGCAUAACAACUUGGACCGCAUGGUCCGAGUUUGAAAGAUGGCUUCGGCUAUCACUUUUGGAUGGUCCCGCGGCGUAUUAGCUAGAUGGUGGGGUAACGGCUCACCAUGGCAAUGAUACGUAGCCGACCUGAGAGGGUAAUCGGCCACAUUGGGACUGAGACACGGCCCAAACUCCUACGGGAGGCAGCAGUAGGGAAUCUUCCACAAUGGACGAAAGUCUGAUGGAGCAACGCCGCGUGAGUGAAGAAGGGUUUCGGCUCGUAAAACUCUGUUGUUAAAGAAGAACAUAUCUGAGAGUAACUGUUCAGGUAUUGACGGUAUUUAACCAGAAAGCCACGGCUAACUACGUGCCAGCAGCCGCGGUAAUACGUAGGUGGCAAGCGUUGUCCGGAUUUAUUGGGCGUAAAGCGAGCGCAGGCGGUUUUUUAAGUCUGAUGUGAAAGCCUUCGGCUCAACCGAAGAAGUGCAUCGGAAACUGGGAAACUUGAGUGCAGAAGAGGACAGUGGAACUCCAUGUGUAGCGGUGAAAUGCGUAGAUAUAUGGAAGAACACCAGUGGCGAAGGCGGCUGUCUGGUCUGUAACUGACGCUGAGGCUCGAAAGUAUGGGUAGCAAACAGGAUUAGAUACCCUGGUAGUCCAUACCGUAAACGAUGAAUGCUAAGUGUUGGAGGGUUUCCGCCCUUCAGUGCUGCAGCUAACGCAUUAAGCAUUCCGCCUGGGGAGUACGGCCGCAAGGCUGAAACUCAAAGGAAUUGACGGGGGCCCGCACAAGCGGUGGAGCAUGUGGUUUAAUUCGAAGCUACGCGAAGAACCUUACCAGGUCUUGACAUACUAUGCAAAUCUAAGAGAUUAGACGUUCCCUUCGGGGACAUGGAUACAGGUGGUGCAUGGUUGUCGUCAGCUCGUGUCGUGAGAUGUUGGGUUAAGUCCCGCAACGAGCGCAACCCUUAUUAUCAGUUGCCAGCAUUAAGUUGGGCACUCUGGUGAGACUGCCGGUGACAAACCGGAGGAAGGUGGGGAUGACGUCAAAUCAUCAUGCCCCUUAUGACCUGGGCUACACACGUGCUACAAUGGAUGGUACAACGAGUUGCGAACUCGCGAGAGUAAGCUAAUCUCUUAAAGCCAUUCUCAGUUCGGAUUGUAGGCUGCAACUCGCCUACAUGAAGUCGGAAUCGCUAGUAAUCGCGGAUCAGCAUGCCGCGGUGAAUACGUUCCCGGGCCUUGUACACACCGCCCGUCACACCAUGAGAGUUUGUAACACCCAAAGUCGGU